rnacentral:rRNA from 1 species
AUUGAACGCUGGCGGAAUGCUUUACACAUGCAAGUCGAACGGUAGAGGGGGCAACCCCUUGAGAGUGGCGAACGGGUGAGUAAUAUAUCGGAACGUGCCCAGUCGUGGGGAUAACGUAGCGAAAGUUACGCUAAUACCGCAUACGAUCUACGGAUGAAAGCGGGGGACUCGCAAGAGCCUCGCGCGAUUGGAGCGGCCGAUAUCAGAUUAGGUAGUUGGUGGGGUAAAGGCUCACCAAGCCAACGAUCUGUAGCUGGUCUGAGAGGACGACCAGCCACACUGGAACUGAGACACGGUCCAGACUCCUACGGGAGGCAGCAGUGGGGAAUUUUGGACAAUGGGGCGCAAGCCUGAUCCAGCAAUGCCGCGUGCAGGAUGAAGGCCUUCGG